UCUCCCCCUCUCUCCUCCAUCUGGCUCUCUCCCUCCCUCUCUCCUCCACCUGGCUCUCUCCCUCCCUCCCUCCUCCACCUGGCUCUCUCCCUCCCUCCCUCCUCCACCUGGCUCUCUCUCCGUCCCUUAUCCACCUGGCUCUCCCUCUCUUCUCCACCUGGCUCUCCCUCCCUCCUUCCACCUCGCUCUCUCCCUCCUCCACCUGGCUCUCUCCCUCCCUCCCUCCUCCACCUGGCUCUCCCUCCCUCCCUCUCACCCUUCUCCUCGCUCUCUUCCACCUCCCUCUUUCUCCCCGUCCACCUCGCUCUCUCCCACGCCUCCACAUCGUCGAUCAGACUCCAUCCCUCUCUCCUCCACCUCUUCACUUGCUCCGCCUUUCUCUCCAGUGCAAUAUAGUCCGCAAAUUCCACUUUUUAAAUCAUUCUCUCGCCUAUCAGCAAGUCACAUCCCAUUCCUCUUUCCUCCAUGUCUCCUCCUCCCUCCCACUUGCUCCACAUUUCUUUCCCGUGCAAUAUAGUCCACCACAUUUCUUUCCCGUGCAAUAUAGCCCACCAAAGUCCAAUUUUUAAUCAUUCUCUUAGUCUUCCAGCACGCGAGACUCCACUCUCCACCACUCCACUCUUCCACCUCUCCACCUGAUCCUCCAAUAAGACGAUUCCCUGUAAGACUCUGUGGAUAAUAAGGUUGUUAUUCUGAGCUGCUCUCGUCAAAGUCAAAAGACCCCUCUGUAUGGUCUUGGCUACUGGUCUGGUAGGAUGUGGCUCUGGCUGGUGCAGCUGGCCUGGCUCGGCUCUGUGACUGAUGCGGCUGAUCUAGUGUGGCAGGUACAGCUCUGACUGGUCUGGUGUAGCUGCUUCAAGUCCACUCCACAAACAGUCACCCCAAGGGCAGGACUGACAGGACUGAGAGCUGGCUGUUGUGCUGAUCCUUGGUUGAGUGUUGGCUACCCACCAUCACUACCCUACACUUCCUCUAGGCCCUUCCAGUGUGCUGAACUACAAACACACAGGGUUGGUGGCUGUGUAUCCUCCUGCCUGUGACUUCAGCACCUUCAAGAGCAUUGAAGAACUAAUCUUGAAACUCUUGGACUCUGCAGUGGCAUCAGGCUUUACUGUAAAGUGAAUAAUAAAUUAUUGAUUGUACCUUA